rnacentral:rRNA from 1 species
UACAGAGGUCUCAAGCGUUGUUCGGAUUCAUUGGGCGUAAAGGGUGCGUAGGCGGCGCGGCAAGUCGGGUGUGAAAUCUCGGAGCUUAACUCCGAAACUGCAUUUGAUACUGCCGUGCUUGAGGACUGGAGAGGAGACUGGAAUUUACGGUGUAGCGGUGAAAUGCGUAGAUAUCGUAAGGAAGACCAGUGGCGAAGGCGGGUCUCUGGACAGUUCCUGACGCUGAGGCACGAAGGCCAGGGGAGCAAACGGG